AGCGAACGCUGGCGGCAGGCCUAACACAUGCAAGUCGAACGGCUCUUCGGAGCAGUGGCGGACGGGUGAGUAACGCGUGGGAACGUGCCCUUUGGUUCGGAACAACACAGGGAAACUUGUGCUAAUACCGGAUGUGCCCUUCGGGGGAAAGAUUUAUCGCCAUUGGAGCGGCCCGCGUUGGAUUAGGUAGUUGGUGGGGUAAAGGCCCACCAAGCCGACGAUCCAUAGCUGGUCUGAGAGGAUGAUCAGCCACACUGGGACUGAGACACGGCCCAGACUCCUACGGGAGGCAGCAGUGGGGAAUCUUGCGCAAUGGGCGAAAGCCUGACGCAGCCAUGCCGCGUGAAUGAUGAAGGUCUUAGGAUUGUAAAAUUCUUUCACCGGGGAAGAUAAUGACGGUACCCGGAGAAGAAGCCCCGGCUAACUCUGUGCCAGCCGCCGCCGUAAUAC
rnacentral:rRNA from 1 species